UACGGAGGGAGCUAGCGUUGUUCGGAAUUACUGGGCGUAAAGCGCGCGUAGGCGGCUUUGUAAGUUAGAGGUGAAAGCCCGGAGCUCAACUCCGGAACUGCCUUUAAAACUGCAUCGCUUGAAUCCAGGAGAGGUGAGUGGAAUUCCGAGUGUAGAGGUGAAAUUCGUAGAUAUUCGGAAGAGCACCAGUGGCGAAGGCGGCUCACUGGACUGGUAUUGACGCUGAGGUGCGAAAGCGUGGGGAGCAAACAGG
rnacentral:rRNA from 1 species